UUUGAAAUCUGGCCCUCGGGUCCGAGUUGUAAUUUGUAGAGGAUGCUUUUGGUGCGGCGCCUUCCGAGUUCCCUGGAACGGGACGCCAUAGAGGGUGAGAGCCCCGUACGGUUGGAUGCCUAGCCUCUGUAAAGCUCCUUCGACGAGUCGAGUAGUUUGGGAAUGCUGCUCUAAAUGGGAGGUAAAUUUCUUCUAAAGCUAAAUACCAGCCAGAGACCGAUAGCGCACAAGUAGAGUGAUCGAAAGAUGAAAAGCACUUUGAAAAGAGGGUUAAAUAGCACGUGAAAUUGUUGAAAGGGAAGCACUUAUGACCAGACUUUUUCCUAGCGGAUCAUCCGGCGUUCUCGCCGGUGCACUUCGCUAGGUUUAGGCCAGCAUCGAUUUCUGUAGGGGGAUAAAGACUUCGGGAAAGUAGCUCUCUUCGGGGAGUGUUAUAGCCCGUCGUGUAAUACCCUUACGGGGAUCGAGGUUCGCGCUCUGCAAGGAUGCUGGCAUAAUGGUCAUCAGUGACCCGUCUUGAAACACGGACCAAGGAGUCGAACAUUUAUGCGAGUGUUUGGGUGUUAAACCCUCACGCGUAAUGAAAGUGAACGGAGGUGAGAGCCCUUACGGGUGCAUCAUCGACCGAUCCUGAUGUCUUCGGAUGGAUUUGAGUAAGAGCAUAACUGUUCGGACCCGAAAGAUGGUGAACUAUGCGUGGAUAGGGUGAAGCCAGAGGAAACUCUGGUGGAGGCUCGCAGCGGUUCUGACGUGCAAAUCGAUCGUCAAAUCUGCGCAUGGGGGCGAAAGACUAAUCGAACCAUUAACGGUGGGACCAGCGGUAAAUAAUUAAUUUACUAGGUGGUUAAGAGGCUUCUUGCGAGAGGAAGCCUAGGUCGGACCUACCCGGUAGCUACCUGGUAGUUACUUACCCGGUAGCUACCCUAUAGUAUCGGGUAGCCGACCGACACCGCUAAAUUGCGGGGACAUCCUACAGAAGGCUCCAGGCUACCGCCCUGCGCUGAAAGGCGUACGCGGCACCAAGAAUAGCGCUCUUGGGUAUGGUAAUAACGCCUGGGGUAGCGGACGACCUGCAGCCAACCCCGCCAGCCCCCCUAUAGGGGGGGCCUUAGGGGAGAGUUCACUGACUAAACAGCGGUGGGUCUUAUAGUGCUAAUAGGUGCUGUGAGGCCUAAGACAUAGUCGAUC
rnacentral:rRNA from 1 species